AGGAAUAUUGGGCAAUGCCCGCAAGGGUGACCCAGCAACGCCGCGUGGAGGAUGAAUGUCGUAAGAUUGUAAACUCCUGUUAGAGGGGAAGAAUAGUACCGGUUGGACCGGUAUAUGACUGUACCCUCAGAGAAAGCCCCGGCUAACUACGUGCCAGCAGCCGCGGUAAUACGUAGGGGGCAAGCGUUGUCCGGAUUUACUGGGCGUAAAGGGCGCGCAGGCGGGAUAAAAAGUCAGUGGUGAAAUCCUACAGCUUAACUGUAGAACUGCCUUUGAUACUUUUAUUCUUGAGUUCGGGAGAGAGAGACGGAAUUCCAGGUGUAGUGGUGAAAUACGUAGAUAUCUGGAAGAACACCAGUUGCGAAGGCGGUCUCUUGGUCCGACACUGACGCUGAGGCGCGAAAGCGUGGGGAGCAAAC
rnacentral:rRNA from 1 species